rnacentral:rRNA from 1 species
UACAGAGGGUGCAAGCGUUAAUUGGAAUUACUGGGCGUAAAGCGCGCGUAGGUGGUUCGUUAAGUUGGAUGUGAAAUCCCCGGGCUCAACCUGGGAACUGCAUUCAAAACUGUCGAGCUAGAGUAUGGUAGAGGGUGGUGGAAUUUCCUGUGUAGCGGUGAAAUGCGUAGAUAUAGGAAGGAACACCAGUGGCGAAGGCGACCACCUGGACUGAUACUGACACUGAGGUGCGAAAGCGUGGGGAGCAAACAGG